AACGCAAAUUUCACAGCCAUUAACAACGUUAAAGCAUUCCCUUGAGGUUGAACCCAUUACGGCGUUCUGGCCCAUGACCAUCGGAAUAUUGUUGUCGUGGAAUUUUUUUUUCUGGUUUCGAUGGACUGGAGAAUGAAAUGAGUUGAUCUUGGGUGCAGCAUUCCAUCUGUUGAAUAACUUGUUUAUUUCUAAGGGUUUACCUUCGUGUGCCCGUAUGGGGUUUGCUGCAAGGAUUGACUGGACAUUU
rnacentral:snoRNA from 1 species